rnacentral:rRNA from 1 species
CCUACGGGAGGCAGCAGUGAGGAAUAUUGGUCAAUGGGCGCGAGCCUGAACCAGCCAAGUCGCGUGAGGGAAGACGGCCCUACGGGUUGUAAACCUCUUUUGCCGGGGAGCAACGGCCGCCACGUGUGGCGCCACUGAGAGUACCCGGAGAAAAAGCAUCGGCUACCUCCGUGCCAGCAGCCGCGGUAAUACGGGGGAUGGGAGCUUUUUCCGGAUUUAUUGGGUUUAAGGGGUGCGUGGGCGGAGCGUUAAGUCAGGGGUAAAAUUGAGGGGCUCAACCCCUUCCCGCCAUUGAAACUGGCGCUCUUGAGUGGAAGAGAAGUAUGCGGAAGGCGUGGUGUAGCGGUGAAAUGCAUAGAGAUCACACAGAACCCCGAUUGCGAAGGCAGCAUGCCGGCUUCCGACUGACGCUGAAGCACGAAAGCGUGGGGAUCGAACAGGAUUAGAUACCCGUGUAGUC